UACGGAGGGUGCGAGCGUUGUCCGGAAUCACUGGGCGUAAAGGGCGCGUAGGCGGCCUGAUAAGUAGGGGGUGAAAUCCUGCGGCUUAACCGCAGGGCUGCCUUCUAAACUGUCAGGCUGGAGCACAGUAGAGGCAGGUGGAAUUCCCGGUGUAGCGGUGGAAUGCGUAGAGAUCGGGAAGAACAUCAGUGGCGAAGGCGGCCUGCUGGGCUGUUGCUGGACGCUGAGGCGCGACAGCGUGGGGGAGCAAACAGGGA
rnacentral:rRNA from 1 species